rnacentral:rRNA from 1 species
UACGUAGGGGGCAAGCGUUGUCCGGAAUCAUUGGGCGUAAAGCGCGCGUAGGCGGCCCGGUAAGUCCGUUGUGAAAGUCAAAGGCUCAACCUUUGAAUGCCGAUGGAUACUGCCGGGCUAGAGUCCGGAAGAGGCGAGUGGAAUUCCUGGUGUAGCGGUGGAAUGCGCAGAUAUCAGGAGGAACACCGAUAGCGAAGGCAGCUCGCUGGGACGGUACUGACGCUGAGGCGCGAAAGCGUGGGGAGCGAACAGG